AUGUCAACUCCCUCACUACAUGUUGGACAGACCUUGCAUGAAUUUCCACAAGUUGUACAUCACAAUCUUAGGCCAUCUAGCUCUGAACCUGAGGCUACUAGCACCAAGAGAGCAAAAAAGCAAAAGACCACAAGUAUUGAUGAUUUUCAUGAGAGAUACCUGCAACUCAAAAGAGAAGAAAUAGACCGGUAUGCAGCCAUUGAGGAGAGGAAAUUAAGGGACCCCUUCAGCAUCAAGAAAUGCAGCAAAGCACUUGAAAGGUUGGACGGCCUUCCGAUGGCAGAUAUGCUAAAAGCAGUCGACAUCUUCACCAACAGUAACUUGUAG
rnacentral:rRNA from 1 species